rnacentral:rRNA from 1 species
AUACGGAGGGUGCAAGCGUUACUCGGAAUCACUGGGCGUAAAGCGCGCGCAGGCGGCUAUUUAAGUUGGAUGUGAAAGCCUACGGCUCAACCGUAGAACUGCAUCCAAAACUAUUUAGCUAGAGUGUGGGAGAGGAAGAUGGAAUUAGUUGUGUAGGGGUAAAAUCCGUAGAGAUAACUAGGGAUACCAAAAGCGAAGGCAAUCUUCUGGAACACUACUGACGCUGAGGCGCGAAAGCGUGGGGAGCAAACAGGAUUAGAAACCCCAGUAGUCC